rnacentral:rRNA from 1 species
UUGGAGGGCAAGUCUGGUGCCAGCAGCCGCGGUAAUUCCAGCUCCAAUAGCGUAUAUUAAAGUUGUUGCAGUUAAAAAGCUCGUAGUUGAAUUUCGGGGUCAGUAGGUCGGUCGUGCCACUGGUAUGAACUGGUUUUACUGAUUCCUCCCUCUUGAAGAACUGUAAUGCCAUUAAUUUGGUGUUGCAGGGAAUCAGGACUGUUACUUUGAAAAAAUUAGAGUGUUUAAAGCAGGCUUUAGCUUGAAUACAUUAGCAUGGAAUAAUGAAAUAGGACGUUUGAUCCUAUUUUGUUGGUUUCUAGGAUUGACGUAAUGAUUAAUAGGGAUAGUUGGGGGCAUUAGUAUUCAAUUGUCAGAGGUGAAAUUCUUGGAUUUAUUGAAGACUAACUACUGCGAAAGCAUUUGCCGAGGAUGUUUUCAUUAAUCAAGAACGAAAGUUAGGGGAUCGAAGACGAUCAGAUGCCGUCGUAGUCUUAACCAUAAACUAUGCCGACUAGGGAUCGGAUGAUGUUAAUUUUUUAAUGACUCAUUCGGCGCCUUACGGGAAAC